rnacentral:rRNA from 1 species
AUGCGUGCGCUUCCAGCUGGCAGGCAACGGCGGGGCCGUCGCCGCGCUCGGCAAGGUCGCGUUCGAGCUCCGGUGGAGGCCGCGCCCGUCGUCGUCCGGGCUGGCGGCGUUCCUGGUGUCAGGGAGGCCGUCCUCGCGCGUGCUGGCGAGGGCCGACCUCUCCUUGUCUGUGGGCGCAAAAUCGGCGUCAGCGGAGAGCUGGUUGUUCCUGCUCGUGGCGAGCGAGCGCGGCGUCAAGGUGGUGCGCGUGAGCGCGCGGACAAGGAUGGACCGGCGGCGUCGUGGUACAGGUGCAAGGUGUGGGUGCACGCAUGGACGUCCUCAUGCUGGACGCCAAGGUGGAGAGCUGCGCGGUGCCCUCCGAGGAGGCGGCCAUGGGCGCUGGUGGCAGGUACCUGCCGGUGCCGUCCGACGUGCAGCCGCUGGAAGGAGGAGGGGUCGUCGUCCGUCUCCGCAUCGACAAGGAGGUCAGGGUCAAGGCGAGGAGGAGCGCCCGUUCCCGUGCCUGGCCGGCUCCGAUGCCGCCUCCCGCCGCGGCCCGGCGCUAUUCCAGCGCGACCGCUCGUCGUCCAUGUCCAUGGUGCACCGGCCCAGCGGCGUCGUCAGCACCGUCGCCGCGUCCGUCACCCCUGCCGCCAGCGUCGUGGUCAGGGCGCCGUCGACUGCGCGCACCCCGGUGUCCCGCGAGGUCUCGUCGUGCCCAGCUUCGGCUACGACGGACCCAGCGUCGCGGACGGGGACGGCGACGAGCGGCGCGGCCUGCCGGUGCUGGAGUCAAGGACGAGGCGGCGCGUGGAGGAGGAGCACUGCAGGAGAGGCCCGCGACGCAGCUUGGGCUCGUCGAGAACAGGACGCCAUGGACGAGCAGGACGCCAUGGACGAGCUCCCCGCCUCCCUGCUCCGGCGCCCUCCCCGCGAGCUCCGGCGCCCGCCCGCCGUGACGCCCCCCGUGCCCCAGCUCCGGCGCCCUGCUCGCCGCGCCCGUUCCGUCCCGUGCGCGCCAGCUUCGGUGGGUGGGGGAUGGGGGAGUGUGAGCACAUGGGUGGGCCUGCAGAAAAGAGAGAGGGAGAGGAGACAGGGAGUUGA